GUUAAAACCUAUUUAAUUGUUAUGAGGAGAUAAUCAACUUUAUAAAUUAAAAAGUGAUAAAAUAAUUUGUUAUAUGAAAGAGGUCGCACAUGUGUGGAGGAUAUCGAUUGUCCAGGAAGUAUGUGUGCGUUUACGUUUUAUCCAAUAUGUGUUUAUGGCAUAUGUGAUUGCAUUGGUCUUGCGUUGACAUAGAAUAGGAAAUCAAAGUAUUUGGUUUUUAGUUCACACCCUAAAGAGUAGACAAAUAUUCUACUAGAGUCUUAUAUGAAAUGUCAUAUAGUUAAAGUGUUUACAUCUAAGAUAUUGAUCUUUUUAUUUUAAUUUUUAUGAAUCUUGUAAGUAUGACUUUGUUAAUAUCUUUUUAUUUUAAUUUUUAUGAAUUUUGUAAGUAUGACUUUGUUAA